rnacentral:lncRNA from 1 species
CACCCCAUGGGUGCCAGCCGUGUCACGUGGCCGUCCCCAGGACUCGUACCUGCUCCAGUACUUCUCGGACCUGAACCAGUACCUGGCCGUGGGUGUCCCCACCUACUUUGUCACCACCGGUGGCUUCGACUUCUCCUCCCCGAACGGCACCAACGCCAUCUGCUCCAGCGCCGGCUGCGACGACGACUCGCUCACGCAGACCAUCCAGAUGGCCACGCGCUUCCCCAACGUGUCCUACCUGGCCAUCCCGGCCACCUCGUGGGUGGACGAUUUCCUGGACUGGCUGAACCCCAUGGGGCCGUGCUGCCGCGUCUACCAGUGUGAGGAGCUCCAGGGCGAGUUCUGCCCCGCCACCGGCAGUGAGUGCGGGGCACGGGGGCUACUCCGUGGUGGCCGCUGUGUGCCCACCAUGGUGGUCCUUGGGUGGCCAUUGCAUGCCCACCGUGGUGGCCAUUGUGUGCCCACCGUGGUGGUCCUUGGGUGGCUAUUGGGUGCCCAUCAUGGUGGUCCUUGGGUGGCCAUUGCGUGCCCACCGUGGUGGCCAUUGGGUGCCCAUCAUGGUGGUCCUUGGGUGGCCAUUGCGUGCCCACCGUGGUGGUCCUUGGGUGCCCACCGUGGGGGUCCUUGGGUGGCCAUUGUGUGCCCACCAUGGUGGCCAGUGGGUGGCCAUUGCAUGCCCACCGUGGUGGUCCUGGCGAUCCAUUCAGUGACCAUUGAUGGGGACCAUUGGGUGCCCACCAUGGUGGUCCUUGGGUGUCUGUUGGGUGCCCAUCAUGGUGGCCAUUGGGUGGCCAUUGGGUGCCCACUGUGGUAGCCAUUGGGUGGCCAUUGGGUGGCCAUUGGGUGCCCACUGUGGUAGCCAUUGGGUGGCCAUUGGGUGCCCACCAUGGUGG